CUGGUACUUCCUCAGUCCGGAAAUACUCGUGGGUGAAUGGAUGUAUCUAGAUGUAUUUUAGUUCUACAUAUAUUUAUUUUUAUGCAUUUCUUCGACAAGUAUUUUUGGAUGGAGGAAGUAGCUG
rnacentral:pre_miRNA from 1 species